CACGUAGGGGGCAAGCGUUGUCCGGAUUUAUUGGGCGUAAAGAGCUCGUAGGCGGUUUCGUAAGUCGGGUGUGAAAACUCUAGGCUCAACCUAGAGACGCCACCCGAUACUGCGAUGACUAGAGUCCGGUAGGGGAGUGUGGAAUUCCUGGUGUAGCGGUGAAAUGCGCAGAUAUCAGGAGGAACACCGGUGGCGAAGGCGGGUCUCUGGGCAACAACUGACGCUGAGGAGCGAAAGCUAGGGGAGCGAACGGG
rnacentral:rRNA from 1 species